rnacentral:rRNA from 1 species
CAGUCGCCGCGGUAACACGUAGGUGGCAAGCGUUGUCCGGAAUUAUUGGGCGUAAAGGGCCCGCAGGCGGUUUCUUAAGUCUGAUGUGAAAGCCCCCGGCUCAACCGGGGAGGGUCAUUGGAAACUGGGAAACUUGAGUGCAGAAGAGGAGAGUGGAAUUCCACGUGUAGCGGUGAAAUGCGUAGAGAUGUGGAGGAACACCAGUGGCGAAGGCGACUCUCUGGUCUGUAACUGACGCUGAGGAGCGAAAGCGUGGGGAGCGAACAGGAUUAGAUACCCCUGUAGUCCCUGUCUCUUAUAC